rnacentral:rRNA from 1 species
GAGUUUGAUCAUGGCUCAGAGUGAACGCUGGCGGCAGGCCUAACACAUGCAAGUCGAGCGGCAGCGCGGGGGCAACCCUGGCGGCGAGCGGCGGACGGGUGAGGAAUGCAUCGGAAUCUACCUCGUUGUGGGGGAUAACCUCGGGAAACCGGGACUAAUACCGCAUACGACCUACGGGUGAAAGUGGGGGACCGCAAGGCCUCACGCGAUGAGAUGAGCCGAUGCCGGAUUAGCUAGUUGGCGGGGUAAAGGCCCACCAAGGCGACGAUCCGUAGCUGGUCUGAGAGGAUGAUCAGCCACACUGGAACUGAGACACGGUCCAGACUCCUACGGGAGGCAGCAGUGGGGAAUAUUGGACAAUGGGCGCAAGCCUGAUCCAGCCAUGCCGCGUGUGUGAAGAAGGCCUCGGUUGUAAGC